rnacentral:misc_RNA from 1 species
CAGAGUUCAUGCCCUUACGGGUAGAUGUCCCACCCUAUGUUAUCAUUACCUUUGUUGCUUUGGCGGGCCGCCAGGCCUUGGUCAGGCUACCGGCUCCGGCUGGUAAGCGCCCGCCAGAGGACCCCAAACUCUGAAUGUCAGUGUUGUCUCAGUACUAUAUAAUAGUUA